rnacentral:rRNA from 1 species
AUGGCUGGAGGGCUAGUUGGCUUGCUAUGGGAAGAAUGGGGGAUCCAAGUCCUGGUCCUGCUGAGCUUUAUGUUGCAAGUUUUCCUCCUCACCUUCGCUGGGAUACGUCGGCGCAAAGCUUCCGCGGUGUUGAGGCUCGUUCUUUGGCUAGCGUAUCUGCUGGCUGAUUCCACCGCGAUAUACGCCCUUGGCUGCAUAUCUGUCACCAGCAGAUCCCUUGAGCACAGGUUGGUUGUGUUCUGGGCGCCGUUCCUGGUGUUGCACCUGGGCGGUCAGGACACAAUCACCGCCUACGCCCUUGAGGACAACCGACUAUGGCUGCGCCACUUGCUUACUCUGGUAGUGCAGGUCCUGGGGACUGCUUAUAUUGUAUACAAGGCCAUGGCUGGUGCAGAUACUUUUCUCCUUCUGGCCACCAUGUUCAUGUUCAUCGUUGGUGUGGUCAAGUAUGGCGAAAGAACAUGGGCACUCAGGUGUUCUAAUAUGGCCAACAUCCGAAGCUCACUCAAGAGGACCGGUGUCAAAAACCAUUUGUGUGGUCAACUUCAAGGUAUCAAAGGGGAUCUGGAUCAAGAAAACCUUCUGCUGCUUGCUCACUCUGUCUUCGAUAUUUCCAAGGCAUAUAUGGUUGAUUCUUCAGUUGAGGUGGCUCCAAGGGAUGAUGAUUCUACAGGACUUGUAUCCUUCGGAUGGAAGGAAAUGUGCACAGUGGUCGAGCUGGAGCUCUCCCUCCUGUACGACAUCCUAUAUACUAAGGCGGCAGUGAUCCACACAUGGUACGGAUUUUCCAUCCGUGUGACUGCACUAUCUACAACCCUGGCCGCAUUUUUGUUGUUUCAGUUGAGUAUAAAAGACGGCUUCAGUGCAGUGGAUAUCACUGUCAGUUACAUCUUGGUGGUCGGCGCCUUGCUCCUAGAGAUCGCAUCAGUGCUCAGGUCAAUUGGAUCGACAUGGACAUGUGACUUGAUGCAUUCAAGAAAAUGGCAUCGCCUUCUUCAUAUGGCUGUUUCUCUUCGCCGGUGUGUCGGGGCGCAAAGCUACAGAAGUUGGUCUGGCACCAUUUCACAAUACAACCUGUUACACUUGUGCACCCACGACACGAUGGAUCUCAGUAGCAAGCUAACAAAGAAGAUGGGGCUAGAAGACUUGUGGAAAGAGGUGCAUUUCUCGUGGACCCUUUCUAUGUCAUCAGAUGUCAGAGAGUUGGUGUUCAUGCAGAUCUUGGAAAUUAUGGAAAGCUCAGAGGACGCGGUAAGGAAUGAGAGGGGUGGCUGGGUACUGCGGCGUUCUGGAUUAUAUAGUGAUCUCCGUUGGAGCAUCGACGCUGAUUACCAUGAGAGCAUCCUCAUAUGGAGCAUUGCUACAGAUAUCGUGAUCGUUUGCGGCGAGCAGGCCAAUCUCGAGGAAUCAGCGAGUCUCCGUAAGGCAACCUCGGCAUUGUCCAAUUACAUAUUGUUCCUCCUUGUAGCACUCCCCUCCAUGCUGCCUGGACCCCUUCGCCGCAACCUGUAUGAGCAAACCUGCAAUGACUUGGUUGAUAUAUGGCAUCAUCACGGCUCGACAGAGCCUAGGGAUCAAGCAUCUUUUGGAUGCAACUUCGCCCAUACACUGAAGAAACUAUUCAGCAAAGAUAGCCCCAAUUCUUCAAGGCACCGGGAGAGGGAGAAGCUUGCCAGGAUCCUACUAAGUAAGAAGCAGAAUUUACAGACUAACGACUCUCCCGGCCAUACCCUUCUUCUCGGAAUUCAACUGGCCGAUCAGCUUCUCGGCAAGGAAUCGGAUGUGCCGAACUUCUUGCAAGUGAUCUUUGGGGUGUGGGUGGAGACAUUGUGCCAUGCAGCCAACCGAUGUAGCAGAGACUCCCAUGCCAGGCAACUUAGCAAUGGCGGUGAGCUGACAUCAAUCGUGUGGCUUAUGUCAGGUCUUGUUGGAUGCCUGCCUAAAAGGCAGCCAGGCUUGUAA